UAUAUAUAUAUAUACAUUUACCUCCUAACAAAUCUACCUGUGUAUGUCUAAACUGUGGCUAUUGGGGUAUCACUACCUUCUACGUAUAUCUCCUAUUUAGUACUGGGGAUGUUUCAUUUAUGAGGACUUACUCAUGUAUUUGUCUGAGCGUUG